rnacentral:rRNA from 1 species
UUUAAUUGAAGAGUUUGAUCAUGGCUCAGAUUGAACGCUGGCGGCAGGCCUAACACAUGCAAGUCGAGCGGCAGCACAGAGAAACUUGUUUCUCGGGUGGCGAGCGGCGGACGGGGGAGUAAUGCCUGGGAAAUUGCCCUGAUGUGGGGGAUAACCAUUGGAAACGAUGGCUAAUACCGCAUGAUAGCUUCGGCUCAAAGAGGGGGACCUUCGGGCCUCUCGCGGCAGGAUAUGCCCAGGUGG